UUAUAACACCUUGAAAAGGAAUCAAAUCAACAUCAAUCCAAUAUUUUAUAAUCUUUCAUAUUUAUUCUCACUCAGUGUGAUGAAAGGUUUGGAUGACCACAGAUUUUAUAUCCUAGCAGAUCACAGAUCAUGUAUCGAAUCGAUACAUGUAAAACUUCCCUUCGAGUCAAACGCACGGUACGUUGUCAACUAUUAAAGUACAUUUGUUGUUUCGCAAAUUUCUCCAUUGUGGGACAAAUAAAGGUGUUCUUAUCUUCUUAUCUUAACUUUCAUGUGCAGCACAUUUGCAUGAAAGCAUUAAUUGAGGACGUUCAUUUAUUUAGGUUCCUACAUUUCAGCGCCCCGUGAAUCAAGCGCGGCGCAUACCCUUUCAAUGAGAAGGGUCCAGCUGCAGACCCGGAGGAGGCCGAUUCAGGCAAAGGUAGGUUUAGGCAAGUAACUUUGCGCCGGAUAUGACGUCAGAAGGAUGAUGCCCGAUUCCAAAGUAAGUCGCAUGUGGAUCUUAAAAAGUUUAAAAGGCCCUGUAAUUAUGCAUGUCACAAUACAACGAGGGACAUCUGUCCCUGAGCUGCAAAAAUGCAACACAUGUUGCAGUAUGUACCACUGUCCAUUCUGCCAGCCCGCAUGAAAGCAUUUAGCCCAAAA